rnacentral:rRNA from 1 species
UAGGGAAUAUUGCGCAAUGGGCGAAAGCCUGACGCAGCCAUGCCGCGUGGAUGAUGAAGGCCUUCGGGUCGUAAAGUCCUUUUCUGAGGGAAGAACAAGUGGGGUAGGAAAUGACCCCGCCCUGACGGUACCUCAGGAAUAAGCAACGGCAAACUCCGUGCCAGCAGCCGCGGUAAUACGGAGGUUGCAAGCGUUGUUCGGAUUUACUGGGCGUAAAGGGAGCGCAGGCGGCUAGGUUAGUCUGAAGUGGAAGCCCGGGGCUCAACCCCGGAAGGUCUUUGGAUACUGCCUAGCUUGAGUUCGUGAGAGGAAAGUGGAAUUCCAGGUGUAGCGGUGAAAUGCGUAGAUAUCUGGAGGAACAUCAAUGGCGAAAGCAGCUUUCUGGCACGAUACUGACGCUGAGGCUCGAAAGCGUGGGGAGCGAACAGGAUUAGAUACCCCCGUAGUCC